rnacentral:rRNA from 1 species
GAUGAACGCUGGCGGCGUGCCUAAUACAUGCAAGUCGAGCGAACGGACGAGAAGCUUGCUUCUCUGAUGUUAGCGGCGGACGGGUGAGUAACACGUGGAUAACCUACCUAUAAGACUGGGAUAACUUCGGGAAACCGGAGCUAAUACCGGAUAAUAUUUUGAACCGCAUGGUUCAAAAGUGAAAGACGGUCUUGCUGUCACUUAUAGAUGGAUCCGCGCCGCAUUAGCUAGUUGGUAAGGUAACGGCUUACCAAGGCAACGAUGCAUAGCCGACCUGAGAGGGUGAUAGGCCACACUGGAACUGAGACACGGUCCAGACUCCUACGGGAGGCAGCAGUAGGUAAUCUUCCGAAAUGGGCGAAAGCCUGACGGAGCAACGCCGCGUGAGUGAUGAAGGUCUUCGGAUCGUAAAACUCUGUUAUUAGGGAAGAACAUAUGUGUAAGUAACUGUGCACAUCUUGACGGUACCUAAUCAGAAAGCCACGGCUAACUACGUG